UACGGAGGGAGCUAGCGUUGUUCGGAAUUACUGGGCGUAAAGCGCGUGUAGGCAGCUUGGCAAGUCGGGUGUGAAAGCCCUGGGCUCAACCUAGGAAGUGCACUCGAAACUGCCUCGCUUGAGUAUCGGAGAGGAAAGCGGAAUUCUCGGUGUAGAGGUGAAAUUCGUAGAUAUCGAGAGGAACACCAGUGGCGAAGGCGGCUUUCUGGACGAUCACUGACGCUGAGGUGCGAAAGCGUGGGGAGCAAACAGG
rnacentral:rRNA from 1 species